GAAGAAGAAGAAGAAGAAGAAGAUGAUGAUGAUGAUGAUGAUGAUUCUCCUUGCUUUGAAGAACCAAAGCGAGAACCCUUGCACAAACGCAGAAGAAUGUUGGUGACUGGAAUCCAAGAUCUGUUAUCAAAUGCCGACAAUAAUACUUUUGGCAUUCUCUGUGUGGCUGCUUCAUUGCCCUCAAAAACUGCCAAAUAUUCCUUAUAUUGUACCAACACUGAUAUAGAUUGGAGAAGAAGAUCCUUUAGAUCUGCGCUCAAUAUCCUUGGAUCAUUGAAAUGGGUAACUAUGAAAGUAACAAAUGAGGCAAGUCCUUGCUUAAUAAAUAUUGUAGGAGGAACAAAUGGAGGAUCACUCUUGCGCAACACAUGAAAACAGUCAACCAGGGUUUCAAGAUAGAAUUCAGGGAUAUAAAUGAAUAAAGAAUCCACUUUGCUAAGAACCAGAAGCAAUUGGACUAUCCACAUGCAUGUUGCAUACAUUCCUCUCUGCUUCCAAUGAGAGAAAAGGGAGAUGCGAUACCAUGCACAAUGUCUGACACAAUCGAUAACUUCUUCUCGAUAAUCAUUACGAACUUCCUUCAAACGCCGUAAUUGUUCACUACAACCUCUUUCUCUUAUUUGCUUAUCAGUUUCUUCGAGAAAUGAUAUUGACUGUGACUGAUGAGACAUGUAGUAUGAUGCCUGUUUAAAGUUUGGUGCAACACCUAUGUGAUACAACAGCAGCAAAGUAUCUAGAAGUUCUUCUUCUCUCAGAGUAGCUGAAGUGAUGUCACUCUCCCUUGGCACAAUCCUCAUAUCCCAUAUUGGGCAAUAACCAAACUCUGAUUCAGAAUGAUCACUGGUGCUAGGCUUGUCUGCAAUCUCAUCAUUCAAACUUCCUGCACUGCAUUCUGCAGCAACAUGAGCAGACCUCUCUGGAAUAGGGGUACAAUGGACACGAGAAGCUUUUGCUGUAUAUCUAAUUGGAUGCUUUGAGAUUUUUGACAAUUCAACAUCAUAACUUGAACAACAACAUGGUUUCUGUGUGGUUUUGUGUGUUACUCUGGUUUCUUCAUCAUCUGUACAGCCUUCUUCCCACCGAACUACUUCCACUUCCUGAUCAUGUACUGGAUGAGAUUUUGAUAGAUGACUAAAUGAUCCCCCAAGCCUUGAAAUGUCAGUUUGAUAAGAAUCAUUUUUCAGAAAUAAAUCUACAGGGAAACUAUGUUCACCACCUCUAUGAAGAAAUCCAACAUUGUGAUUUUUUGUUUCACAGCUCUUCAACCAACCACCAAUGUCCCUCAUAGCAAAUCCUUCGGAUAGAAAAUGAAGUAUGACUGUAUACAAAGAAACAAGAACAGAGUUGCUUGAAACUCCAGGAGGUGGCACAUUGCGAUCUGCACCCCUAUUCUUCAACAAAAGACUCUGUAAAAAUGUCCUAAACACUGAACCAGGUAACUGGGAAGUUGUUGUGGGUGGUAUAAACUGUAUGACCAAAAGACAAAGGUCCCUAUGCUUCUCCUCAAUCUUGCUGACUGCUUCAGAUAAAGCUGUAGUUGUCAACAACAUGCUAGAUCCAUAGGAAAUAUCCUCACAUGAACCAGGCCAGCAAACUGAAGGCAUCAAGCUAUGAAGGUCCAGCUUGCUUGGACUCUUUUGCGAUAGAAAACCUUCAAACAAGAAUUCAAAAUCCGGUGACUUCCACCAAAGCACCAUUAACUCUUCCCUUCUUAAAAUAUGGCAUACCAAUGCAAGAUAAGAAUAAGAUCCUGAGUAAGGGCAUUCAUUUAAAACCAAUGAUGCUGUUUUGCAACAACUUGAAAGGGCACUGAUGAUAUACUCAAAUAUUAGACAGGAUUCCCGAAACUCCAGAAACACAUCUAUAAAUCUGUCCAAACUAGAAUAGUCAUGUGCUGGCUGCAAUCUGAAGACCUUCAUCAUGAAUGAAAGAAGUGGACCCCAAGCUACAUACUCUGCGUUCCUUGCAUCUGUCUCAAGUAUAAAGAACAAUUCCUCACAUAUACUGUGACAAACAGGGUAAAAUAGUUCCUCAAGUGACACAAACCUCUUUAAUCUUCUUAAUUUCCCAACUGAAGAACUAUCGGUGCGCUCAAUACACUGCAGAUUAAACAACUUGGAUAAGCAUCGAAGCAACUGAGUAGCCAACAGGUUUACUGAGGGAGGUUCUUGAAGUGGAAGGAAGCCCUGAAUGGGGUAUUUGAAGGGUCGAGCCCCAAAAUUUAAUUCACAGCGUUCACCUUGAGAAAUAGAGACUGCAGGGUAAUAUCCAAAUCCAGGUCCCUUCUUGUGAAUACCACAAAAGGCCACCCCAAGAGAUACACCAUUUCUGUAAAACAAUAUCUCAUCAUGGUCCAGAUCAAUGCAACACCCAAUGACAUCACCAGCAACCCAUGACUGGCCAUAAGGCUCAGCCUCCUUAUUCCACUUUCUAACCCUUUUCCCAUCAAAUGCAUAAGAAUCAUCUGCAUCACCUACACCCUUAUGGUCAGUGAAAGGGCAAGAUAGGGUUGCCCAUCCAAGUUGUUGUACACCAGAAGUUUCUAAUAUAACUUCAUACAUCCAUUUUCCUUCCCACACACAAACAUUAGCCCUGAUGCUACUGAACAUUGCUAAGCUCUCUAGAAGCAAAGGAGGCUUCACAAUUCUAAUCUCACCACAAAUGCUUAAUUCUUCAAGCCCAACUUUGUGAGGCUGACAGCCAUUGUCAAAAAUAAAAAUUCCUUCCCUAUUGCUAGCCAAUGAGUCAGAAUUCAUAUGAAAUUUUGAGAACUCAUUCUUGAUAAUAGAGCGGACUAAAUCACUGUCAACUGGACCAGGCAAUGGACCAACUGAUUUGUUAGGGAGAUCAAAAAUGUGCUCAAGAGCUCGCUCCACAGGCUGAUCACCAAAAUCAUCACAAUAUGAAACCAGAUGGGUUUUCGACGAACCCUCCUUUCCAUCCUCACCAUUCAAUAUUACGGCCAAGCCAGAUGAUGGCAUGAGGGUAGGUGGGCUUUCAUCUGGCUUGGCCGUA
rnacentral:misc_RNA from 1 species